UGCGAUAAUGGCAAACUCAGUGAGAACUGAGGACGCAAAGCUACGGGUCUUACAUGUAAUGUGAAGAUAGCCGGGUUAUCGAAU
rfam:Desulfosporosinus lacus DSM 15449 genome assembly, contig: EJ50DRAFT_scaffold00013.13